GACGUAGGGCGCGAGCGUUGUCCGGAUUUAUUGGGCGUAAAGAGCGUGUAGGCGGCUUGGUAGGUCCGCUGUGAAAACUCGAGGCUCAACCUCGAGAUGUCGGCGGAAACCACUUGGCUAGAGUCCGGAAGAGGAGAGUGGAAUUCCUGGUGUAGCGGUGGAAUGCGCAGAUAUCAGGAGGAACACCAACGGCGAAGGCAGCUCGCUGGGACGGUACUGACACUGAGGCGCGAAAGCGUGGGGAGCGAACAGG
rnacentral:rRNA from 1 species